GAUUAGCCAGAAGAGAUCUUAGAGAAUGGAUGGAAAAUAAAGCAAGAGACACCGUGGAGGCACAUAGGAGAGAGGAUUCUAAAAAGCUUUCUCUACUAUCUAAACAAUUGACAUCACAAUGCUCUAACCUUUGUAGAAUUGUGUAGAAAAGCUCAAGAUUGUACGAUUUCAACCACAAAGGAUGGACAGAGUGCCCAUUGGAUGGUACAUUUCCAGGCUGUGCUAAACCAGCCAGAACCAUUAACACAUACUGAGAAAUGUGAAGACAUAGUGGUCUUAUCUAUACCACUACAAGUAAUCACCUCGGAGGAAGGAACUAAGGCUAUAAACCAGCUGAAGCGUGCUAAAGCACCAGGCUAGGAUAAAACAAAUGCUGAAAUGUUAAAUGCUGGGGAGGAAGUGCUGGUGAAUUAUAUGUGCAGGCAGUUGGAGUGGUCUGGAGAAGGGACACCUGUCCAAAGAUUGGAGAAGAGGUGUUAUCUGCAAAAUCCCUGAAAAGGCAAACACCAGGGGUGACAACCUGCCAGCACAUCUUAACCAGUGGCCAUGGCCGAUAACCAAUCAUGUCCUCGAUGUUGUCAUAGAAACGGUCUGCACCUUGACCACCAGAGGAAGGGACAGAGAAAAAGAGAGAUAAACACCAUUUUCUGUGGUUCCAGCACACCCAUUGCAAGCAGUGGAUGAUGUAGUGGAACACGGUGGGACCUGACAUGAAGGGAUUCAGCAUGCCCUUGAACACGAGAUGCAGAAGUAGCAGAUGACCCAGGCGAACAGGAGGCAGAGAGCCAGCUCCCAGCGCACAGUGCCCAGAUUGUGAAUACCAUCUGUGAGUCCCAGGACUCGCUUCCUGACAGUGCAGGAGAACAAGAAAUAGACAUUUUGAAAUUUUUCACACAAAAAAACACGAGACCCAGAAAUUCCAUCGUGGACCCGAGAAACCCAUUCAUUGACUCACCUUCAAAGAGAGGGCAGAUCUUCCGCCAGGCAGUGACC